CCUACGGGAGGCAGCAGUGGGGAAUAUUGGGCAAUGGAGGAAACUCUGACCCAGCGACGCCGCGUGCGGGAUGAAGGCCUUCGGGUUGUAAACCGCUUUCAGCAGGGAAGAAGCGAAAGUGACGGUACCUGCAGAAGAAGCACCGGCUAACUAUGUGCCAGCAGCCGCGGUAAUACAUAGGGUGCAAGCGUUGUCCGGAAUUAUUGGGCGUAAAGAGCUCGUAGGUGGUUCGUCACGUCGGAUGUGAAAAUCUGGGGCUUAACCCCAGACCUGCAUUCGAUACGGGCGAGCUUGAGUAUGGUAGGGGAGUCUGGAAUUCCUGGUGUAGCGGUGGAAUGCGCAGAUAUCAGGAGGAACACCAAUGGCGAAGGCAGGACUCUGGGCCAUUACUGACACUGAGGAGCGAAAGCGUGGGGAGCGAACAGGAUUAGAUACCCUGGUAGUCCACGCCGUAAACGGUGGGCACUAGUUGUGGGGACCUUCCACGGUCUCUGCGACGCAGCUACGACAUAAGUAGCCCGCCGUCGGGAGGUACGAGCGCGAAGUAAGUUAAAACGUUAAAAGGUUAAAGUUAGUACGGUUACGUUGAGACGUUCGCCGACGGACGACGACGAGGGGAGGAGGAG
rnacentral:rRNA from 1 species